rnacentral:rRNA from 1 species
CCCGACGGUGAUGGAUGAACAUGCGACUGAUUUAGUUUGUUGGUGAGGUAACGGCUCACCAAGACUACGAUCAGUAGGGGUACUGAGAGGUUAAACCCCCACACUGGUACUGAGACACGGACCAGACUCCUACGGGAGGCAGCAGUAAGGAAUAUUGGACAAUGGCCGCAAGGCUGAUCCAGCCAUGCCGCGUGCAGGAAGACGGACCUAUGGUUUGUAAACUGCUUUUGAACGGGACGAAAACCCCCCUACGUGUAGGGGGCUGAUAGUACUGUUAGAAUAAGCAUCGGCUAACUUCGUG